rnacentral:rRNA from 1 species
CUACGUGCCAGCAGCCGCGGUAAUACGUAGGGGGCAAGCGUUAUCCGGAUUUACUGGGUGUAAAGGGAGCGCAGACGGCUCUGCAAGUCUGAAGUGAAAGCCCGCGGCUUAACCGCGGGACUGCUUUGGAAACUGCAGGGCUUGAGUAUCGGAGGGGCAGGCGGAAUUCCUAGUGUAGCGGUGAAAUGCGUAGAUAUUAGGAAGAACACCAGUGGCGAAGGCGACUUUCUGGACGAAAACUGACGCUGAGGCGCGAAAGCCAGGGGAGCGAACGGGAUUAGAUACCCCGGUAGUCCUGGCCGUAAACGAUGGGUACUAGGUGUAGGAGGUAUCGACCCCUUCUGUGCCGGAGUUAACGCAAUAAGUACCCCGCCUGGGGAGUACGACCGCAAGGUUGAAACUCAAAGGAAUUGACGGGGGCCCGCACAAGCGGUGGAGUAUGUGGUUUAAUUCGACGCAACGCGAAGAACCUUACCAGGUCUUGACAU